AUUGAACGCUGGCGGCAUGCCUUACACAUGCAAGUCGAACGGUAACAGGUCUUCGGAUGCUGACGAGUGGCGAACGGGUGAGUAAUACAUCGGAACGUGCCCGAUCGUGGGGGAUAACGAAGCGAAAGCUUUGCUAAUACCGCAUACGAUCUACGGAUGAAAGCAGGGGACCGCAAGGCCUUGCGCGAACGGAGCGGCCGAUGGCAGAUUAGGUAGUUGGUGGGAUAAAAGCUUACCAAGCCGACGAUCUGUAGCUGGUCUGAGAGGACGACCAGCCACACUGGGACUGAGACACGGCCCAGACUCCUACGGGAGGCAGCAGUGGGGAAUUUUGGACAAUGGGCGAAAGCCUGAUCCAGCCGUGCCGCGUGCAGGAUGAAGGCCUUCGGGUUGUAAACUGCUUUUGUACGGAACGAAAAGACUCUGGUUAAUACCUGGGGUCCAUGACGGUACCGUAAGAAUAAGCACCGGCUAACUACGUG
rnacentral:rRNA from 1 species